rnacentral:lncRNA from 1 species
UCUGUUGUCUCUUUCAAUUUGUAUGUCACUAUUUCUCAGCAUUCAAUUUGCCUUCACUAGGGGGAUUCGUUCUUCCAAUAAUCAACCCUUGUCCACAAGUAUACCAUGUUCCAAUGGACUACAUAAGCAUAAACCUAAUGCCUGUAAUGGACCGGUGACGUUUUCUACUGCAGUUGCUAGCUCUAGUCAGGUUUCUUCGUUGCAUAGUGACUCUGGAAAGAAGCUGGUUCCUAGUGAAGAAAGCAACACAAGUCUAGACAAAAGCAAACUGGAAGCCAUAGAACAUGUGAAAAAGGAUUCUAGCACAGAUAGCAGAACUAUUUUGAGUAGUUCCUCCUCGUCUGUACUUUCUGUUACUUCAACAAUAAACAGGCAACACGGUCAACCUACAUCCAAGGACAAAGAUGGAGAUGCCAGCAUGCUACCCUGUACCAACAACUCAGUUAAUCAAUACCUAAAGUCUUGUGGUCCUGAUUCAGACACAGAUUCCAAUGAUUCUGCAGAUGGAAAAAUUGAAAAUUUAUGCUCUGAAAUUUUUUCUAUGAGCAUUGAUAGACAUCAACAGUUGCAGAAUGGCUAUGCUGAGCACAUUGGAGAACCAUUGAUAUCGCAGACCUCUGGAAUAUCUGCAUUACCAGUUGAUGAGGAUUAUGCCUCAAAUCGUCUCUCUCCGUUGAAAUUGGAAACACACAUGCAAGUCUCGCAAGUUGACUCGCUUCAGAUGGAAGAUAAUCUAUUAUCUUUUGAUAAACAAAGACUCAAGGAUCCAGAGUUUGCUUCUAGCAGAAACAGUAUACCAGAUUCUUCUCACUCUACUCAUCUUUCAAGACAUUCUAAUAUUCAUUCUCCAACACAAAAUAAUUCUGACGCUUCAGUCAGGGUCAAUGUUGAUAGGCAAAUUGUACAUACAAAAGACAAUUUGAUAGUAUCAGCUUCUAGUAAUUCUGUUAUGUCAAAUAAACAUCCUGACAAUGAAUUCAGUAGUUCUUCUGAUCCAGUGAAUGAUGUUGAACAUAUUUAUUUGUUUCCAAUUAAUAAGGAUAAAAAUUCAGUUCUGGGAAGAUUCAAAGGUGAAGCAGCCUGUCACAGUCAUCCUGCUGCUGUUGAUACGGGGGAAAGCAGCAUAAUAUCAGAUAUUUUGUCGAUGGACUCUUAUUCAUGGGAUGACUCGAUACGUUCACCUCAGAACCUGGCAAAAUUGUUUGGUGAAACUGAUGAACGACAAGGGCCUUUCGGAGUACCUAGUUCGCGGAAAAUCCAGAAUAGCAAUCAAUCGAGGUUUUCUUUUGCUAGAGAGGAGGAACGUAUGAACCGAGCAUCUGACUUUGGACUAGCUAUCAAUUAUGUUGAACAAUCUCUUAAGGACCGCCCAUUUGGCAAUGAUUUCACAAACAGCAACAGCUUUCAUCUUGAAAAGUUUGGUUCUCACAAUAGGCUAUCUUUAUUUAAUGGUGUGGAGUCAGAUAAUUUUGCCAGCAGUCAUUCUUACAUCUCUUCUAACAAGGUUCCUGGUGAGUUGCGAUUUAUACGAAUUUCAAUGAAGUUUAUUCAUAGUUUGUUGUUGACUUGGCGGGGUUGUAAGUUUCUUUUUAUUUCUCGGAUAUAUUAGUAACCUUGUCAUGGAAAUUGACACUUGCGAAGUAUACAUGUUCAAUUUAGUUCUUUCUUGAUCAAAAUAUUCUUGUGCCUCAUGAGAAACCUAGGGAUAUUUUCAAUUUGUGUUUUCCAUCUGAUGGAAUUUAUUCUUAUGUAGCUUUCUAUUUUUCUCUCUCAAAACAUUUUUUCUGGGUGCCUUUGAACAGUUUCAAGAUCUCAAGUUUCUGCCCCCCCGGGUUUCUCAGUGCCUAGUAGGGUACCACCUCCCGGUUUUAUUUCUCACGAGAAGACAGGGCGGAUAUUCGACCCACACUCUGGUCCGUUAAUUUAUGCUAGGCACUUAAUAUUUUCGGACUUUUACUUCAUGUUAAAAAUCUUGUGUUUGGUUUUGAAUUAUCAUUUUAUUCUGUCUUGUGCAGGAAAUUAUAUGCCCGAUGCUUCGCUUUUGCCAAGAAAUCAGUAUCAGGCAUCCCCAAGUGGUGAUUCUAUUAGUAAUGCCGAAAUUGAGUUUAUGGAUCCUGCAAUUUUGGCAGUUGGCAAAGGGAUACUUCCUGGUAGCCUAAACAGCUCAGGCUUGGGUGCAAGAUUAAGUUAUUCUCCGCAGUAUAGUACGCUUGAAGAAUUAAGAUUCCAGUCCUUGUUACAAAGAUCAGUUCCUACUCAUCAAAACCAGAGAUUUACAGACCCGGGUGACAGUUAUUCUCCCCUUGGCGAUGCUUAUGGAGUUCCUUCUAGGGUGCUAGAGCAAACCCUAACCAACAACCUGUCCCCAUUUUCCCAGUUCACUCUUCCUCAGCCUAGAAAUGCUGUAACAUCCAAUGGCCAAUGGGAUGGGUGGAAUACGGUGCAGGGUGAGAAUGCUUUAGGUAUGGCAGAACUACUCAGAAAUGAGAGAUUGGGACUUCCUAAGUACUACAAUGGUUAUGAAGAUUCAAAUACCCGCUUGCCAAAUUCUGGAAACCUAUAUAAUCGGGCUAAUGGGAUUUAAAUUUGGUUGGAGACUUAUAUGGCACUGUUGGUACUGAUAGUGUCAAUGGUAAAAUAGGAAAAAUCUUGUGCGAAUUAGAGAAUGCCUGCUUUAAGGACUUCAAUGUUUGGCAAUCGGAUGACCUGAUCACUUGCAUUGACUAAACGGACCUAGGCAUGGAAUGCCCGAAAUAUUUGUGUUCGAGGACAUUAGAGUGAUUCACGAGUAGUCUGAUGGCACUGCUUUUAAGUUGGUGGAGGAUCAAGCCCUUUCAACAGGGAGUCCCAAACCAACAGGUAAAAUAUUGGCUCUCUUUAAUAUGGUUUAUGUUGUUGAUUCGUGAACGAGGCUGUUGUGCAUGUAUAUCACGGGAAAUAAUAAAUGGAGUAGAGUAUUAAAAAAGUAGAUUAGAGGCUUAAUGGUCACUCAUGUAUGUCAUUAGAAAGAUGAAUGUUACUAAUCUAGUUCAGAAAAGAAAGAACAGUGAGCUUGUUGUACCAUCAGACACUUCUUUCCGUAAAACAAACUUCUGUAUUAGACUCAGAUUUCUCACUAACUGUUUUUCCCCCCUUCGUCCUCUUCGUAUCUUUCGGCUCUUGGUAAGAUGAAAGAAUCGUUUUGAAGAAGAUACAAACUUUGCGAUCCUAAUCCUUUUUAUACUUGAAAAACACAAAGUAACUUCACCUUUCCCUCGUCCUAUUGUACAUCUCAAUUUCCAUGGAACUUACGGAAUAAUGGAGUUUUGAGAUGUUAAUCUGGACAUGAAUAGACUGCUACUGCUACUACUAUUAUUAUUUGCACACUGCUCAUUUUGUUCAUAGCCUUUCACCCUCAUAUUUUCAGGUAAAGGGUGCUUGAGAUUCAGGCCUAAUGUGAUGGUCAUGCAAGCAAUGUUGUGCACGAUGAAAUCAGCUUGUGAUCUUUUCUUUCGUAAUGCUAAAGCUUGUUAGUUUGUUUGAAGUUGUUCUACAGAGGUGAUCGAAAAUACUUUCUUUCACAGUGGUGAAAAUUGAUUUGUGUGUAGGCAAAAAUUCGAAAAUGGGAAGUUUAUAGUUUUGUUUUUGCUUAUUUACUUGAGAGUAUGAUCGAGAUCGUUUUCACAAAAUUCAAUGAAUUCACAUGCUGGUGAAAAAUCUGUAGCUGAAUCAACGUGGAAAUAGUGAAAUGGACGAGUACCAAAAAAUGGUUGGAGGAAAAUAUGUAAUUAUAAAAUGCCAUAAUAAAGCGUGUUUUUGAGAAUGCAG